rnacentral:rRNA from 1 species
GACGAACGCUGGCGGCGUGCCUAAUACAUGCAAGUCGAGCGGACCUCUUCGGAGGUCAGCGGCGGACGGGUGAGUAACACGUGGGCAACCUGCCUGUAAGACUGGGAUAACUCCGGGAAACCGGAGCUAAUACCGGAUACUAUGUCAAACCGCAUGGUUUGACAUUCAAAGACGGUUUCGGCUGUCACUUACAGAUGGGCCCGCGGCGCAUUAGCUAGUUGGUGAGGUAACGGCUCACCAAGGCGACGAUGCGUAGCCGACCUGAGAGGGUGAUCUGCCACACUGGGACUGAGACACGGCCCAGACUCCUACGGGAGGCAGCAGUAGGGAAUCUUCCGCAAUGGACGAAAGUCUGACGGAGCAACGCCGCGUGAGUGAUGAAGGUUUUCGGAUCGUAAAACUCUGUUGUCAGGGAAGAACAAGUGCCGGAGUAACUGCCGGCGCCUUGACGGUACCUGACCAGAAAGCCACGGCUAACUACGUGCCAGCCGCCGCGGUAA